UACAGAGGUCUCAAGCGUUUGUUCGGAUUCAUUGGGCGUAAAGGGUGUGUAGGUGGCGCCGUAAGUCGGGUGUGAAAUUUCGGAGCUUAACUCCGAAACUGCAUUCGAUACUGCGGUGCUUGAGGACUGGAGAGGAGACUGGAAAUUCAUGGUGUAGCAGUGAAAAUGCGUAGAGAUCAUGAGGAAGACCAGUGGCGAAGGCGGGGUCUCUGGACAGUUCCUGACGCUGAGGCGCGAAGGCCAGGGGGAGCAAACGGG
rnacentral:rRNA from 1 species